CCUACGGGGGGCUGCAGUGGGGAAUAUUGGACAAUGGGGGGAACCCUGAUCCAGCCAUGCCGCGUGUGUGAAGAAGGCCCUCGGGUUGUAAAGCACUUUCAGUGAGGAAGAACGCCUGGUGGUUAAUACCCAUCAGGAAAGACAUCACUCACAGAAGAAGCACCGGCUAACUCCGUGCCAGCAGCCGCGGUAAUACGGAGGGUGCGAGCGUUAAUCGGAAUUACUGGGCGUAAAGCGCGCGUAGGUGGCUUGAUAAGCCGGUUGUGAAAGCCCCGGGCUCAACCUGGGAACGGCAUCCGGAACUGUCAAGCUAGAGUGAAGGAGAGGAAGGUAGAAUUCCCGGUGUAGCGGUGAAAUGCGUAGAGAUCGGGAGGAAUACCAGUGGCGAAGGCGGCCUUCUGGACUGACACUGACACUGAGGUGCGAAAGCGUGGGUAGCAAACAGGAUUAGAUACCCUUGUAGUC
rnacentral:rRNA from 1 species